rnacentral:lncRNA from 1 species
GCAGAAGUGCCGAGUCCCGGCCGGGGGCAGCCUCGCCGCCGCUCAGCUCGGGAAUCCCUGCCCCCCACCAGCACCUCAGUGGGGGAUACUGCAAGUUCAAGGUUCACCUCCUGGGCUCACGGCCCCUUCCCCACAUCCCAAGGCCGGCUCUGCAGAGUCAUGGGGAGAAGCCGGAGCCCCAGCCACACUCGCCACACACGCCGACACCCACUCUGGUGUCCUCCGGCCAGCGACAGCGAGGGACAGAGGGACGCCCCCUGCACCUGCCCAGUGCAGAGGCUUCUUGAGUGAUGCCAGGCCCUUCUCCCAGCCCUGUGGUUUAAGGCGUGAAUGAAUGAAGGAGCAAGCAGUAAGCCCCGACAGCAAGGCCACCACAGCCCUCGCCCCACAGGGACGCCUGAGCAAGGACCCAAGCAGGGGACAAGCAGGCUCACCCCGCCCUUGCGGGGCUGACCACGAGGCCCCGUCCGGUGGAACACGCCAUGACGCUUCAGGAGGCUCAUGUAGCUGGCGCCGUAUGGGACAGCGGGGGAGAGAGAAAAUGCACAGCCCAGGGAAUGUGGAGACAGGCCCAGCGCCAGGCAUGGGGGCCGGAAGGAGCAGCCGGGGAGCAGGGGGCAGGGCCUGGAGUCCCGCCUUGCAGAUCUGAACCUGCCCCAGCCCCAGGACUCUGAGUGCAGCAAGAGGGGAGCCGGGCUGGAGAGUGGGGAGCACGGAGACUGUGGCCUGGAUGGUGCCAGAGCAAACAGGAGAGAGGCUGCCCAACGCAGAGGCUGCAGCACAGACCAGAGGGUCCCGGGGCUGACUGGGUGGGGGCAGCUCCCAGCGAGAGGCCCCUGGGAUUUGGGUAAGUAGAGGCACAUGCAGACUCUGGCCACAGGGCACCUCGCGCACGAGGGGAGUUCACCACACAAGCUGAGCGGAGGGCGGACGCAGGAGAGCAGCGGUUUCUCGGAAGCCAAGGGCGGUCAUGGAGCCCCACGCCACAGCGCUUCCCACGGGGCCACACCAUCCGGUCUGCGGAGGGGGCUGCAUUGCCGGGAAGGACCAUCUGAUUCUGGAUUCCAGCCUCACCCUGGGCCACCGCUGAGUGUCCCAAGUGGCCCCUUAGCCCCCAGGGCCAGGCGGCAUCCCAAUCCCCUAGGGAUGUCUGUGCUCAGAAUGUGGCACACACGCCCCGGCAGGGCCAUCCUCCUCCUCCUGCACCCGCCACAGCCGUGGAUUCGGGGUCUCUAUCGUGGGCAGAAAUUCACACAGUCAAGGUGAGGGUCCCAGGAGCAGCUGUGACCAGGCCCCGGCUGCCAGGGAGAGGGGGUCUUCAGCCGACGGGGCAGACACCCUGAGAUGGACCCUUGUCCAGGGGAGGGCCCUGCCACCCACAAUUCCUUGGCAUUCCUGCACCAGCAGGACGGGCUGAGGGAGGCGCCUCACCAGUGCCAGCGCCCAGCAUCACUGUGCCCCGGUGGAGGGGGAGGCCCUUCCGAGCCUGGGCCUGGGUGUGGAUGAGGGCAGGUCUCUCACCUCUCUGACCUCAGCUUCCUCAACUGGGAAGGGGGGCCACAGCACCCCCUUAGGGGUGAUGAGGAAGUGGGAGCUCAGGGAGGACCCCGGGCAGGGCUGCCUCCUCACCUCUCUUCGGCCUUUGGACACUGGAGCUCAGAGGACCAAGUGAAUGAAUGAAUGACUCGAUCAAUCAACUGAUCCAUGAAUCCAUGGACCCCUGAACAGCUGGACAGCUGGGCUGUGGGCAGGACAGGGGACUCUGGCUGAAGCCGCGUUCAUAUGUGUUCAGCUUUGUGAGUGGGGCGAGGUUGAGGGCUUAUUCAGUGGGGGAGGUGCACGGCAGGGCCAGUACCCUUGGAGGGUCAGGCCACAGGGGCGGGGACACCUGCCAGGAUGCCCAACCCCAGAGGCAGUGGGAGCUGUUGGGGAGCCGUGGUCCCAGUCAGCGGUGGCUUGAUGAGGGCUGCUCCCACUUCAUCCGCAGGAUUCCAGCCGCAGCUACCCCACACCCGAGCUGUCCCUAGUCGCCCACCGCGGCCGGACAAAGCCCCAGCAGCCAAGGUGCUCCGUGGGGAGGGUUUCUUGGGUUUCUUGAAGCCAGUAUUUCCCAUAGUAUCUUACGUCCCAGCAGAGGCCUCCACUGUGCCCGGACCAGCGGCCCACUCAGUGAGUCGAGUGUGCACCUGGCACCCCUCUUUCUGGAAAUCCACGAACAAUGGGCUCCCAGCAGAGGACUGAGGCUGAGCAGGCCACUUCCCUGGAGCUGACCCCACAGCUGUGUAGGUACAGGGUGGCCGUGAACACUUAGGGCUCUCUCGGGCUGUGCGCUUCUUGUUCACUGCAAGGAGCAGGGUGUUGGCUCCUGACCAAGCCCUGUCACUGCUGCCCAGCCACACGUGGGGCCCCUUCACCCACCCCUGACCACCUCAUGCAGGUGAAGCCACUGUGGAAACAGCCUGGCAGUCCCUUGAAAAAUGAAGUCAUAAACCCCAGCAAUUGCACUCCUGGGCCUCUGACAGAGCUUGCACGUCCCCUCCAAAGCUCGUGUUAAGCUGUGAGCCCCAGUGCCGGAGGUGGGGCCUGGUGUGUUUGGGUUCUGGGGGUGGAUCCCUCAUGGCUGGGUGCCAUGAACCCACUCACCACAGUGAGUUCUCACGAGAUCUGGUUGUUGAGAAGUGUGUCAUACCUCCCCCACAACUCUCUGUCUUUUGUUCCGGCUCUGGCAAUGUAACAAGCCUGCUCCUCCUUCGCCUUCUGCCAUGACUGUAAGCUUUCUGAGGGCUGACCAGAAGCCCAGCAGAUGCCAGCACCAUGCUUCCUAUACAGCCUGCAGAACCGUGAGCCAGCUAAACCUCUCCUCAUAAAUCACCGAGCCCCAGGUUUAUCUUUACAGCAAUGCAAGACCUGACUAAUACAGCACCAGCUCCCCAAAAUAAAAAGAAAUAUUCAAACAAAUAAGCGCACAGAAGUGUUCCCAGCAGCACUAUUCACAGCAGCCAAAAGGCGGAGGAGCCACAGGCUUGUCAGCUGAUGACAGAUAAAGAAAGCAUGGCCUGUCAUCCCAGCACUUUGGGAGGCCGAGGUGGGUGGAUCACCUGAGGUUGGGAGUUCAAGACCAGCCUGGCCAACAUGGUGAAACCCAGUCUCUACUAAAAAUAUAAAAAUUAGCUGGGUGUGAUGAUGAGCGCCUGUAGUCCCAGCUACUUGGAAGGCUGAGGAACAAGAAUCGCUUGAACCCGGGAGGCAGAGGUCGCAGUGAACCGAGAUCAUGCCAUUGCUCUCCAGCCUGGGUAACAGAGUGAGACUCUGUCUCUAAAUAAAUGAAUAAAUAAAU